CCUCCACCACCUCCUCCUCCUCCAACGCCACCUCCCUGCUAUCCCGGAUCUACAAGACCAGAAUGUCCGCCCUCAUGUUAUCCCGGAUCACCAGAUCCGAGGUGCCCUCCUCCCCCUACAACAUACUCUUACCCAAGACCAACACCUCCACCUCCGCCACCACCGCCACCACCACCUCCUCCUACAACGACAACGGAGCCUCCCUGUAGACCAGGGUCUACCGAACCCAGAUGUCCACCAAACUGUUUCCCAGGGAAUACCGACCCCAGGUGCCCACCGCCGCCGCCGCCACCACCACCACCACCACCUCCACCACCACCGACAACGACAACGACAACUGAGCCCCCUUGCAGACCAGGGUCUACAGAACCCCGGUGUCCACC